CCUAAGGUUUUUUUCCCUUUUCCAUUCUAUUAUAUGGAUAUUUUAUACCUUCUCUUCACUCUUCAAAAUCUCUGAUCCUCAUUUUUAGCCAUUGACUUUAUUUUCUAUGUCUGGAAAUAAAUAGAAGUAAAUGGAAAAUAAUUUUCAAAUUUCCAUUAGCACUUCACUUAUCUCCUCUGACUUCAUAAUAUGUGUAUCAGUUAGCUAAUGCUGCAUAACAAAUGACUUCAAAACUUAAAGCAAUAAUCAUUUAAUAUUUUUUUCAAGCCUACAGUCCAAUGGAGAAGACUUGAUUAUUAGGACCUAGCUGUGCUUAUCUCAUCUGGGCUCCCUCAUGUGUAUGUGGUCAACUUGUGGUUAGCUGUGGUGACUUUGGCAUGAAUGACUCAGCUCUCUGCAUCUCUCACAUCCCUUGAGCAUGCUAGUCCAGGUGGGGAGUAAAUGGACAAGUCUGGAUGUGUGUGCUCAAGGCUCAACAAAUAUUCCUUUGAUCAGUUCAAAGAAGAGUGGCCGAGAGACUCUGGUUGACUCUACCUGCAGAGGUGAGAGAAGGCUGGCUGCACAGAGGACAGGAUGCCUGAGAAGGGUCUCAGAAGAGGCACUUCCUUCUUUUUUUUUUAAAAGGGAUCUACAGUCAAACAAAGGAGAACAAUCCAAUAAUGAGAACAUCCUUGAGGAUCACAGAGUCCAGAGUCCCCAGAGAGAGGGAGAGCAAUCAUGUCUUCUAGAUGGCGAGUUACUUACACAUAUGUCUAGUAGCCUGAAAAACGAGAGAGACCAGAAUAUAGGUGUGUGCCCAUGGUAUGUCAUCUGA
ensembl:lincRNA